AUAGUACUCCCUCCAUCCUAAAUUAUUGUCUUAGAUUUAUCUAAAUACAGAUGUAUUAAGUCAUGUUUUAAUAUUAAAUAUAUCCGUAUCUAGAAAAAUUUAAAACAAGAAUUUUAAGACGAAGAGAGUAUUAU
rfam:Triticum aestivum genome assembly, contig: Triticum_aestivum_CS42_TGACv1_scaffold_112339_2AS